rnacentral:rRNA from 1 species
UAAGGAAUAUUGGACAAUGGUCGCAAGACUGAUCCAGCCAUGCCGCGUGCAGGAAGACGGCCCUAUGGGUUGUAAACUGCUUUUGUACCAGAGAAAACCUAUCUACGUGUAGAUAGCUGAUAGUAUGGUAAGAAUAAGCAUCGGCUAACUUCGUGCCAGCAGCCGCGGUAGACGAAGGAUGCAAGCGUUAUCCGGAUUCACUGGGUUUAAAGGGUGCGUAGGUGGGCUUAUAAGUCAGUGGUGAAAUCUCCGAGCUUAACUUGGAAACUGCCGUUGAUACUAUAGGUCUUGAAUUAUCUGGAGGUAAGCGGAAUAUGUCAUGUAGCGGUGAAAUGCUUAGAUAUGACAUAGAACACCAAUUGCGAAGGCAGCUUACUACAUAUAAAUUGACGCUGAGGCACGAAAGCGUGGGGAUCAAACA